rnacentral:misc_RNA from 1 species
CCUGUUCUGUAUCCCUGAGUGUAGAAUUCCUGGUGUGAAAUCCUCGCUCAACAAGAGUGGUGGGUUGUUUUCGUCAUAACCAACCACUCUCUUGUGGCUCUGAAGAUGGGGGACAUAGCAAAAGACUUUUAAUUUCAAGAUUCUUUGUCACCUUAAAAUUUAACCACCUUCUAUCUAUCGCAGACCUCACUCAGCUCCUUCCCCCUUUUUCUUUGCACUUGUUCCAUAUCCCAACAGAAAAAGUGGGCAGCUUUUCAGGGGAAAUUUCGUCUCAUUUUCUUUUUGAUGGGGGACAUAGCAAAAGACUUGACUGCUGGGACUAUUGGGGGGGCUGCACAAUUGAUUGUUGGGCACCCGUUUGACACCAUCAAGGUCAAGCUUCAGAG